AAGUAUAAUAUGACGUACAAUGAGGGGGUAACACUAACCAAUAUCCAUCCUUCCUCCUUCCUAAUACAGUGCUGAUCUGAUUCCGGAGCUCACAUCAUCCCAUAGACAGAAGUGGAUCCUGAUUGGUCUGAGCCAUGAGGGGAUAGCAUUCUCCUGGCUCUUAUUGGGUCCUGGGGGAGGCUCUCCCCAGUUAGGAAACGACUGGAAGAGAGAGAAGUACGUUGAGGACAGAAGGCUGAACAGACACCGGUAUUUAAUGGAUGGUGAAGAUAGGAUAAACUUUGACCGGACACCUUUUUACCCAGGACUGCUGCAGCUGAGAGAUCCUGGGACUUCUGAUAAAACCUGAGCAGCCUUUUGUUUCAGGAACCCGGAAUCACCCUGGAAACAACCGUGGAGGCUGGCAGCACAGCCACGAUUCCUGUGGAAACCAGCUAGAUCCUUUAUGAUGACGGAAGGGACGGCAAGCUGAGGACAAAGCAGGAGCUGACACCCUGCAACCCCCCCCCCCAUGGGAUGUAUGCAACAUUCCUCAGGCACUCCUGGCUCCCCUAAACGACAAAGGAACAGUCCUUACUACCUACAGCCCAUUGACAAGUCCUUGAAACAGGCAUGGUGACAUUGCUCUAGGAACUCAGCGGCCUCCAUGUUAAUACUUUGCUAAGGGCCAAAGGCAGUCCUGGACUGACCCCCUCCCCUCCACCAAGAUCCUGUUAGUCUACUUUAACGUAUAAAAAUUCCUUUGGAAACUUCCUUUAUCUCUAACCCCCCAAGAUACGUGUUGGCCAUCAUCCCCCCAGCAUAUGGCCCAGCGAUAUACAUCUGAAGGGUCUCAUGACUCAGGUUUUAUUAGACGGUAAUAAGUGACCCUUUCCCAACAGUAGCUAGCCCCCUCAAGGUCCCGAAGACCUUGCUUCCAAAAUUCCUUAGAGACUUAAACGCUAUCCCUAGCCCCCUCCUCACUUGAGGGUAUAAAAUAGGCCACCCCUCACAAUCCGGGGCAGCAGCUCUUUCUGCCCACGGGUCCUGUCCCCGCGCUUUAAUAAACCACCAUUUUGCACCA
rnacentral:lncRNA from 1 species